rnacentral:rRNA from 1 species
AUUGAACGCUGGCGGAAUGCUUUACACAUGCAAGUCGAGCGGCAGCACGGGGGCAACCCUGGUGGCGAGCGGCGAACGGGUGAGUAAUACAUCGGAACAUGCCCAGUCGUGGGGGAUAACACUUCGAAAGAAGUGCUAAUACCGCAUACGUCCUGAGGGGGAAAGCGGGGGAUCGCAAGACCUCGCGCGAUUGGAGUGGCCGAUGUCAGAUUAGCUAGUUGGUGGGGUAAAGGCCUACCAAGGCAACGAUCUGUAGCUGGUCUGAGAGGAUGAUCAGCCACACUGGGACUGAGACACGGCCCAGACGCCUACGGGAGGCAGCAGUGGGGAAUUUUGGACAAUGGGGGCAACCCUGAUCCAGCCAUUCCGCGUGAGUGAAGAAGGCCUUCGGGUUGUAAAGCUCUUUCGGCAGGAACGAAACGGUGAGCUCUAACAUAGCUUGCUAAUGACGGUACCUGAAGAAGAAGCACCGGCUAACUACGUG